rnacentral:rRNA from 1 species
ACAUGCCUACAACAUAGCAUUAGUUCACCCGAUCCCAUUAGAACUCCGCAGUUAAGCGCACUCAUGCUAGAGUAGUACUGGUAUGGGUAACCACCUAGGAAGUUCUAAUGUUUUACAUGCC